CACGUAGGGGGCAAGCGUUGUCCGGAAUUAUUGGGCGUAAAGAGCUCGUAGGCGGCUCGGUAAGUCAGGUGUCAAAUCCUCAGGCUCAACCUGGGGCUCCACCUGAUACUGCUGUGGCUAGAGUCCGGUAGGGGAGCGUGGAAUUCCUGGUGUAGCGGUGAAAUGCGCAGAUAUCAGGAGGAACACCAGCGGCGAAGGCGAGUCCCUGGACAACACCUGACACUGAGGCACGAAAGCUAGGGGAGCAAACAGG
rnacentral:rRNA from 1 species